UUUUUUUGGUCUUAUAAAAGAAUAAUUUACCAAGUUCUAUGCUAUCAAAAAUUGGAGCAAAUACCUAAGGAAGCUGCCCAAAUCUUCUAGCAGCUUUUUGGAUCAUAUAUAAAGAAAAGGAACAAAGGGGUUAGAUCACUGAAAUUUUAUGUACUUUUCAAAAGUUUGGAUUUAUUCAAUUAUGUGGCUUAUAUGAAAGAUGGGUUGCUCAAAAGUAUGCACCAUGCUGAUUUCUAUGUGAUAGGAAUUAGGCCAUAAACAUAAGGGUCAUAUUGCUGUUAUUGAGGAACUUAGCUAUUCAGUACCUUAGGUACCCUUAAAUAAAGGAAAAGGGUACAAACAGUAUAUAUAUU